rnacentral:lncRNA from 10 species
GUCCUUCUCUAAUGGUGAGAUUCCAGGACAGGGGAGAAGUCUAGGGAGAGAGACUGGGGACAUGCGGCCUUCCGGGACCUCAGUCUCACACCACCGGGUCCUGGGCUCCCUGUUGUCUCUUAUCAAUCUAGGUUUCCAGCGUGGUGCAGUGAAGGAGUGUGUGACCCAGGCCCCAGCCGCACUCUGCAAUGACACCAUGGGCAAGUCCCUUAAACCCGCUCCAGACCUCAGUUUCCUCAUCUGUCAGCUGAGACUACUGGACAAAUGACCAGAUGAAGUUCUAGAGCCCUGGAGGACUCUGUCUGGGCUGGAGACAGCUCAAGACCCUGCCCAGGAAGCAGAAUGGCUUCUAGUGCUGGCUACAUCUGGCCUGAGGCUGCUUGCUUAUGGUUUGGGACUGGUUACCAGAUCUGCUUCCAGGGAUGGUGUCAUCGCCUCAUUUUAUAGGUGUUUCAUACACAUGGAAUCACACACUACAUGACUUCUUGAGUCCGGCUUCUUACACGUAGCGUCGCAUUUUCAAGGUUCCUCCUUGUAGCCCAGGU